UGAGAAAGGAGGAUUCAGCUGAACAGGACUGCAGGGGCUGCAAAAACAAGCAAGACAGUGAAGGCAAGCAUGGGGCGAGAGGAGGACAACUGUUUUUGUGUCCCUGAGGCUGGUGUGUUUUGGGAAAGCUAAAAAAGCCACGGAAAGCCAGUUUAAACUGGUACAAAAAGCACCAGGAACAGAAGUCCCUAAACAAGAUGCCCCCAAAGGACCCCAGGACUUAAAACCCUCUCAGGAGAUGAAGCAAGUCGGAGAUCAACAGCGGACCCUGGACAAUCCAUGCACGGGACAAGAACUCCCAUCCGCCCUUCCCCCUCUUCUUCUUACGUUACACCCAGGUUUGGCCAGCUUCGGGUAGAGCGGGUCUGCAAAUGUUUCUCCUUCGCAGAGGCUAGCAAAGAUUAGAAGCAGAAAAAAACGCACUCGGGAUGAAAUGUUCUCUGAGCUCCUGCUGUCCUCCCACACUGACAGAGCACAGCAGAAUGCGUGGAGGCAGACAAUGUCAGAGAGCAGGAAAGCACCAUAUGAACGCAAGGAGAGGUGGCAGGCUGGAGAGUGUACGUGGCAGGCUGAAGAGGCAUUGGGAUCUCAACCCAGAAUUCCAAUGGGCGGCGGAGACUGUAGGA